UUGCGCAGGCACUUUGGUGACUCUAGAUAACCUUGGGCCGAUCGCACGUCCCUGUGACGGCGACAACGCUUUCUAUGGUACUUUCUGCGCCUACCAAGGUGACCAUGGGUAACGGUGAAUCAGGGUUCGAUUCCGGAAAGGGAACCUGAGAAACGGCUACCACAUCCAAGGAAGGCAGCAAGCGUGCAAAUUACCCACUCCCGACGCGGGGAGGUAGUGACGAAA